rnacentral:rRNA from 1 species
UACGAAGGGGGCUAGCGUUGCUCGGAAUCACUGGGCGUAAAGCGCACGUAGGCGGCUUUCUAAGUCAGGGGUGAAAUCCUGGAGCUCAACUCCAGAACUGCCUUUGAUACUGGAGAGCUUGAGUCCGGGGAGAGGUGAGUGGAACUCCGAGUGUAGAGGUGAAAUUCGCAGAUAUCGGGAAGAACACCUAUGGCGAAGGCAGCUCUCUGGGACGGUACUGACGCUGAGACGCGGAAAGCGUGGGGAGCGAACAGG